CUCUUAACCCUUUUGGAGGCCGAAGUCUAAAGGGAACUAGAGGGCUUGACGCAUCCUUUACAUCCUGCAUUUACUCUGACCACAGUCCCUCCCUGUUCUCACAAGCAGAGCUCAGCCCUGCUUCCCUUCCUGUUGAUUCCCAGUCAGCUACAUGACUGCCUGAAGUUACAUUGUAGAUGCUGAAAUCACUGCACCUUAAAAACAAAAAGAUUAAGCCACACUGCAUUCCUAUAUGGAAAGACAAUGAACAGAAAUGGGCAUUAUUUCAUAUCCAGGGAGAGCUGGUGCUUUCCAGCACACUAGCCUUAUUUAAAAAUUGCUUGGUUUUUAAUUGUCUUGCAGCUCACCUCAUCUGUGCACCCAGAGGAUUUUCCUCUGGCCUUUUAAAAUCCACAGAGUUGUUGGGAUUACUGGACAAGAACGCACUUCUCUUUUUACUUGCUUAUGCAACUCCUAACUGGUAACACAAAAAGAAAUAAAAGCUAAUUCUGUGAGGUUCUUCUUGGAGAAGGAGGGUGAUGAGGGGAGCACUUGACUUCUGAGGUCAAAAAUCAGAGACUAAUUCCCCCAGUCUUGUGUCACAAGUUUUGAACUGCUCGGUUGCUCUCCCUGGGUAAGGACAACACUCUCAAGAACAGCAUUCUCCAAUUCUCAAGUUGUCUAGAUGCCAUAUGUGCCUGAUCCCUGAUUAUGCAGUGGUGUUAGUUAUGAUAACUGAGAGUUAUCCUGAUUUUACUGUAUUUCUGUUGUUCAAAGGACCGUAGUUUCCUCUAGCACUCAAAAUCUGAGUGGUCCCUUAGUUUGUAGAGGGGAAAUUAACUGGUGGUGUUCAUGACAAAUAUGUGAACUGACCACUUCCAUUAUGGCCAUAUUGGAGUCUGGAUUUUCUAAUAGCUGUAUCAAAAGAAGGCAUAAGAUGAGGAGAUCUGGUUACCAACUGGUCUUUAAGCACAAGAAAUAGACAUUUGCCUUCUUUUGUCCCUGAGCUGUAAAUCGGGAGGGACAAUCCUCACUUUGAAUGCUGUGCUUACUCUCAGCAUGAUGUGUGUGAUGAAAAAGGCACUGAAAGAAAGCAUUAAGUCUAGGAUAACAUCAAAGAAAAUGCUUCAAUUUUUAUUCUCCCCUCCAUAGUGGGUAAAUUAAAACAGAAUGAAACACCAGCAAACUUGAAAAUAAAAGCAAAUGUGUAUGUGCGGACUAUGGCAGUUUAUUCUGAAAAUUAAAGUAAAUUCUUCCCCCUCCCAAACUAUUGUUCUAAUGAUGUAAUGCUCUAACAGCCUAAUCUUCUACCUUGCUUUCUUUGAUGUACAUUCUCAAAUUCACUGGCCAGCCUGUAUGGUGACUUUGAGAUUUCUGAUGUCCUCUUGCUUGGUUGGCUGUCAGAGCUACACCAGGUAACUCUGCUGAUACUACAUUGUGCUUGGAACAGGAUGUAAAGGGAUGUCGCUUUCUUGCACCAACAUUCUCAGCAGACAUUGAAAUAAAAAGUUCAAACACACCCCCACUGAGCACCUAACACGUGGGGGUGACUAUAGGAAAAUAGGUAGUAGGAGCUUUUCAGGAAGAAGGAGUCUUAAGCAGACAACGUCAGUCUACACCCUCCUUUGAAUUAG
rnacentral:lncRNA from 13 species